ACCUCACUGCAAGCAACCAAGUUUAGCAUUUCUGGAGCUUUCUCCCUCAUAUAUUCAAUCACCCACUCUGUCACAUCUUUUUGUUCACCUGUCUCUGUCACCCUUGUAAACCUGAAAUCUGUCACUGGUUGGCACAACCCGCUCAUGUUCUCAACCACUCCGAGAACUUCUACUCCAACUUUCUUGCAGAAACUCACUUCUUUGCGCACGUCGAUUAGAGAGACUUGUUGUGGGG
rnacentral:lncRNA from 1 species